UUAACACGCGCGCGCGGGCCAUGCAAGUCGAACGGUAAGCCCCUUCGGGGUACACGAGUGGCGAACGGGUGAGUAACACGUGGGUGAUCUGCCCUGCACUCUGGGAUAAGCCUGGGAAACUGGGUCUAAUACCGGAUAUGAGCUCCUGUCGCAUGGCGGGGGUUGGAAAGGUUUACUGGUGCAGGAUGGGCCCGCGGCCUAUCAGCUUGUUGGUGGGGUAAUGGCCUACCAAGGCGACGCGCGGCCGGGCGACGGGUAGCCGGCCUGAGAGGGCGACCGGCCACACUGGGACUGAGACACGCCCCAGACUCCUACGGGAGGCAGCAGUGGGGAAUAUUGCACAAUGGGCGAAAGCCUGAUGCAGCGACGCCGUGAGGGAUGACGGCCUUCGGGUUGUAAACCUCUUUCAGCAGGGACGAAGCGAGAGUGACGGUACCUGCAGAAGAAGCACCGGCCAACUACGUGCCAGCAGCCGCGGUAAUACGUAGUGCGAGCGUCGGAAUUACUGGGCGUAAAGAGCUCGUAGGCGGUUUGUCGCGUCGUCCGUGAAAACUUGGGGCUCAACCCCAAGCUUGCGGGCGAUACGGGCAGACUUGAGUACUGCAGGGGAGCUGGAAUUCCUGGUGUAGCGGUGAAAUGCGCAGAUAUCAGGAGGAACACCGGUGGCGAAGGCGGGUCUCUGGGCAGUAACUGACGCUGAGGAGCGAAAGCGUGGGUAGCGAACAGGAUUGCGCGCGGCCAGAUACCCUGGUAGUCCACGCCGUAAACGGUGGGCGCUAGGUGUGGGUUUCCUUCCACGGGAUCCGUGCCGUAGCUAACGCAUUAAGCGCCCCGCCUGGGGAGUACGGCCGCAAGGCUAAAACUCAAAGGAAUUGACGGGGGCCCGCACAAGCGGCGGAGCAUGUGGAUUAAUUCGAUGCAACGCGAAGAACCUUACCUGGGUUUGACAUAUACCGGAAAGCCGUAGAGAUACGGCCCCCCUUGGCGCGGCCUGGUCGGUAUACAGGUGGUGCAUGGCUGUCGUCAGCUCGUGUCGUGAGAUGUUGGGUUAAGUCCCGCAACGCGCAACCCUUGUCCUGUGUUGCCAGCGCGUAAUGGCGGGGACUCGCAGGAGACUGCCGGGGUCAACUCGGAGGAAGGUGGGGACGACGUCAAGUCAUCAUGCUGCGCGCGCGUAUGUCCAGGGCUACAUGCUACAAUGGCCGGUACAGAGGGCUGCGAUACCGUGAGGUGGAGCGAAUCCCUUAAAGCCGGUCUCAGUUCGGAUCGGGGUCUGCGGCCAACUCGACGUGAAGUCGGAGCUAGUAAUCGCAGAUCAGCAACGCUGCGGUGAAUACGUUCCCGGGCCUUGUACACACCGCCCGUCACGUCAUGAAAGUCGGUAACACCCGAAGCGCGCGGUGGCCACCCUUGUGGAGCGGGAGCCGUCGAAGGUGGGAUCGGCGAUUCGCGGGGACGAAGUCGGCCCGUAACA
rnacentral:rRNA from 1 species